AAAAAAAUUUUCACAAAAAGGAGAACAGAGUGUUCGAGCUCUAGAGAGACGAAAAGUCAACAGGGGUUUUGGGUUUUUCUGCUGAAAAGCAGAAGACAGAAAAGUACAAGGCCAACAGAGGAGAGACGCGCGGCAGAAAAAGGGAGAAAAACAAAAGCAAAAAAAAAAAAAAAACAAGAAGAACACUGUUCUUCUUCCUCGGGUGAACCCCUGUUGCCGUGACGGAUUCUCUGCCCCGCUGGUCCUCUCCGUUCGUCGCCCUCUGCUCACUGGACGCCGCCGUCUCGCCAGCCCGAUGCUACCACCGUGCCGCUGUGUCACUGCUCACCCGCGAGUUCCGCCCCAUCGACCUUGCUGCUGCCGCUCCGCUUCAGCCCGUGACCCAGCCGUGCCACCGCACUCCCCGUGUCCGAUCCCUUCACGAGCCGACGCCACCUGCAGCUAGAUCUGUCCACAGUAAUCUCCGAUCAGUGACCCAGAUCGCAAGCCAGGCGGACCCGCCACGCCCUGUUCGACUCCGGACGCUGCUCGCACGCAAAUCGCUGGAACAGGACCCGAGCCUUCCUCGCUCCGCCCCUGUGCUGCUGCUGCCGCCGCCGGUUCACCUUUGCCGGAGUUCACCUUCACUGGACUGACGACCGGCUGCCCUUGGAGACCCGUGAGCAAGAAGUGCUCGAAAAAGGGAAAAAGGAAAAGAAAACAAAAAAAGAAAAAGAAAAAUCGGAUUAGGUAGUUUUUAUUUUUUCAUUUUUAUUUUAUCUUUCAUUUUUUUAAUAUUCUGUUUUAGUAAAAUUGUUCCUUUAAAGUAUAUGAUUGAUAUUCCAACAUGAAUUAUCCCCUCAAAUAAAGGAUUGACAGUCCGAUUUUCAUGUAUGAAUCCGACUCGCAAUCCGUUGCAAAAAGUCGACAAUCCGAUCUCACGCUCGAGAUUUGAUUUGCGAUUUAAUUUUAAAAUUAG
rnacentral:lncRNA from 1 species